GGAGAAGGGAGUAGACAGGCUCGCCAGCCUGCACGAAGGGCGAAUUCGAGAUCGAUGUGAGGGAAUUAAAGCGAGACCAGUCACCAUGUUUGCAAGUUUCCCUUCAUCCUCCUUCAGCUUAACAGGCGCUGCCAUGGUUUAACCAAGUUCAAGGUUUUCCCAGGCAAAUACAGUAAAGUGAGAGGGCGGCGAGGGAGCUGAAAACCUGCCCGAGAUUUCAAAUCUCUUGGCUGGAUACAUGCAGUGCAUCAGAAAAAGCAGCUAGUUCAUGAUAAGCUGGAUUCUCCAGGAUCAUCGUCCAGAGGUCUGCACGAGGCAGACCAGCCUCACCGCGGCUUUGACUCUGCGUCCACCACCUCCUGCCUUUCGUGGAGACCGCGCUCUGCAACUGGAGAAGCCACUGCGAUGAGAAGCCGGUACACGGCAACUAGAGAGUAGCCUCUGCUCGCUGCAACUCGAGAAAGCCUGCACACGGCAGCCAACACCCAGCGCAGCCAUAAAAAAGAAUGUGUGUUCUGUGGCUCAGCCGUGUCCGACUCUUUGUGAACCUUUGGACUGUAGCCCGCCAGGCUCCUCUGUCCAUGGGAUUCUCCAGGCAAG
ensembl:lncRNA